rnacentral:rRNA from 1 species
UACGGGGGGGGCAAGCGUUGUUCGGAUUUACUGGGCGUAAAGCGCGUGUAGGCGGCUUUGCAAGUCGGAUGUGAAAGCCCACGGCUCAACCGUGGAAGUGCAUCCGAAACUGCAUGGCUCGAGUCUCGGAGAGGAAGGUGGAAUGCUUGGUGUAGAGGUGAAAUUCGUAGAUAUCAAGCAGAACACCUGCGGCGAAGGCGGCCUUCUGGACGAUGACUGACGCUGAGACGCGAAAGCUAGGGGAGCAAACGGG